rnacentral:ribozyme from 1 species
UUUUUUGUAUCAUCGUAAUCGGGUUUGAUAUUCGUAUUUUUGUAUAUAAAAAAAAGAGAAAGAGCGAGAAGGGUGCGCAUAAAAAAAAGAAAUAAAAAAGGAGAGGUGUGCGUCGAAGCUAGAUUAAAAGAGUCUUUUGUUCUCAUUAUUUCACUAUCUCAUUAUUCUGAUUCUUUUUCUUGCCUAAAAAAGAAAAAAAAAA